rnacentral:rRNA from 1 species
AUCUUUAUAAUUUUACUAUCAAAUCCACUUUCAAUAAAUUUUUUCAAAUUUAUAUCCAUAUAAAUAUUUUUAUUGUAAUUCAUUUCUACUUAAAUAUAAGCUACACCUUGAUUUGAAAUAAAUUUUAAUUAAAAUUAUUGAAAAUUAUUAUUCUUUUAAAAUAUUCUGUUAACAACGGUAUAUAAACUGUUUUACAAACUCAAGUAAGGUCCAACGUGGAUUAUCAAUUACAGAACAAAUUCCUCUGAAUAGACUAAAAUACCGCCAAAUUUUUUAAGUUUCAAGAACAUAACUAUUAC